rnacentral:rRNA from 1 species
GACGAACGCUGGCGGCGUGCUUAACACAUGCAAGUCGAGCGGAAAGGCCCACUUGUGGGUACUCGAGCGGCGAACGGGUGAGUAACACGUGAGUAAUCUGCCCUCCACUCUGGGAUAACGUUCAGAAAUGGGUGCUAAUACCGGAUGUACACAGGCUGACGCAUGUUGGUGUGUGGAAAGGUUUUCUGGUGGGGGAUGUGCUCGCGGCCUAUCAGCUUGUUGGUGGGGUAAUGGCCUACCAAGGCUUUGACGGGUAGCCGGCCUGAGAGGGUGACCGGCCACACUGGGACUGAGACACGGCCCACACUCCUACGGGAGGCAGCAGUGGGGAAUAUUGGACAAUGGGCGGAAGCCUGAUCCAGCAACGCCGCGUGAGGGAUGACGGCCUUCGGGUUGUAAACCUCUUUCACCAUUGACGAAGCUGCAUCUUUUUGGGUGUGGUGACGGUAGGUGGGGAAGAAGCACCGGCCAACUACGUGCCAGCAGCCGCGGUAAUACGUAGGGUGCGAGCGUUGUCCGGAAUUAUUGGGCGUAAAGGGCUCGUAGGCGGUUUGUCGCGUCGGGAGUGAAACCUUGGGCUUAACUCAGGGCUUGCUUUCGAUACGGGCAGACUAGAGGUAUGCAGGGGAGAACGGAAUUCCUGGUGUAGCGGUGAAAUGCGCAGAUAUCAGGAGGAACACCGGUGGCGAAGGCGGUUCUCUGGGCAUGAUCUGACGCUGAGGAGCGAAAGUGUGGGGAGCGAACAGGAUUAGAUACCCUGGUAGUCCACACCGUAAACGUUGGGCGCUAGGUGUGGGAUCCAUUCCACGGGUUCCGUGCCGCAGCUAACGCAUUAAGCGCCCCGCCUGGGGAGUACGGCCGCAAGGCUAAAACUCAAAGGAAUUGACGGGGACCCGCACAAGCGGCGGAGCAUGCGGAUUAAUUCGAUGCAACGCGAAGAACCUUACCUGGGUUUGACAUACGCCGGAAAGCAUCAGAGAUGGUGCCCCUUUUUGUCGGUGUACAGGUGGUGCAUGGCUGUCGUCAGCUCGUGUCGUGAGAUGUUGGGUUAAGUCCCGCAACGAGCGCAACCCUCGUUCCAUGUUGCCAGCAGGCCCUUCGGGGUGCUGGGGACUCAUGGGAGACUGCCGGGGUCAACUCGGAGGAAGGUGGGGAUGACGUCAAGUCAUCAUGCCCCUUAUGUCCAGGGCUUCACGCAUGCUACAAUGGCCGGUACAAAGGGCUGCGAUGCCGCGAGGCGGAGCGAAUCCCAAAAAGCCGGUCUCAGUUCGGAUUGGGGUCUGCAACUCGACCCCAUGAAGUCGGAGUCGCUAGUAAUCGCAGAUCGGCAACGCUGCGGUGAAUACGUUCCCGGGCCU